GCCGGGCGUGGUGGCGCGUGCCUGUAAUCCCAGCUACUCGGGAGACUGAUGCAGGAGAAUCGCUGGAACCCGUGAGGUAGAGGUUGCCGUGAGCUGAGGUCGCGCCAUUACAUUCCAGCCUGGGCAGUAAGAGUGAAAAAAAAAGAAGUAUAGGAAGUAUUAAUUAAUUAAUUAAUUAUUAUUGUAGGCAGAGUUUCGCUCUUGUUGCCCAGGCUGGAGUGCAAUGUGGCGAUCUCGGCUCAUCACAACUUCCGCCUCCUGGUUUCAAGCGAUUCUGCUGC
rnacentral:lncRNA from 10 species